GUGGCAGCCGCCGCGGUAAUACGGAGGGUGCGAGCGUUAAUCGGAAUUACUGGGCGUAAAGGGCGCGUAGGCGGUCGCGCAAGUCGGGUGUGAAAGCCCCGGGCUCAACCUGGGAAUUGCAUUCGAUACUGCGUAACUAGAGUCUGGUAGAGGGAAGCGGAAUUCCGCAUGUAGCGGUGAAAUGCGUAGGUAUGCGGAGGAACACCAGUGGCGAAGGCAGCUUCCUGGACCAAGACUGACGCUGAGGCGCGAAAGCGUGGGGAGCAAACAGGAUUAGAUACCCUGGUAGUCCACGCCCUAAACGAUGAGGACUAGACGUUGGGGGGAUAAAACCCUUUAGUGUCGCAGCUAACGCGUGAAGUCCUCCGCCUGGGGAGUACGGCCGCAAGGUUGAAACUCAAAUGAAUUGAAGG
rnacentral:rRNA from 1 species